rnacentral:rRNA from 1 species
AGAUAGCAUGCCGUCUAGGAUAAUAUUUUUACCAUAAACCUGCGAAAGGCUCAUUAAAUCAGUAAUAAUCUAUUCUAUUAUUUAAUUCUAUUUGGAUAACUGUAGUAAUUCUAGAGCUAAUACAUGCAAAAAACCUGAACUUUACAGAACGGGUGUACUUAUUAGACAUUAAAACCGAUUACAAUUUAUUGUAUACUUAAAAUGAAUUAAAAUAAGUUUAUGAAUCGCAGAUCAUUUUGUGAUGAUAAGAAUGAAUUUCUGCCCUAUCAACUUUCGAUGGCAAUGUAGGGGAUUACCAUGGUGAUGACGGGUAACGGGGAAUUAGGGUUUGAUUCCGGAGAAAAGGCCUGAGAGACGGCCAUUACUUCUAAGGAAGGCAGCAGGCGCGCAAAUUGCCCAAUGUGGAAAUCACGAGGCAGCGAACAUCAAUAACAAUGAGAGACUGAAUAACAGUUUUUCAAUUGGAAUGAGAUAUGAGAAGAGAAAAAAGCGAGAAUCAAGU